rnacentral:lncRNA from 1 species
UUCCGCCUUCCGGAUGGAUGAAAGCAGAAGCAGUGGCUGGAGCUAGAGCAGCUAUUUAGGACUAUGAGAUGGAAGAAAUGUGGUGACAAUAGCAGAACAAAAAUAUAGAAAUCUUGGAGAAUGAAGAUACUGUCAUUACCUCUGCAAAGAAUGCAUCCUAGCACAGAUCAAAGAUCUUCCAAGUCCAGCCACACCAUUUUACAGUUCUGAACCUCGACUUAGGAAAGCAGUGGAUCUUUAUACAUUUGACACAUCCCUUCCCUCUAGGAUCUCUGUGGCUAUUGAAAAUGGACUGGAGAAGAUGAGUGGGAGUGAGAAGAGGAUAACAGAAUCAGAUAAAAACCUGUCAUGUUACUAAGAGCAGGAGAUGAGGCAGCCUGGACCAAGAUGGUGGCAGAGAGAAGAAAAUUGCUUGAGAGAAUUGAUUAAACUACUUGGUUAGCACAGAUAGAGCUGAAUCAAAAAUUAGGAUGGUAAGCUAAGUAAUUUUACACACAAAAAGGCAGAGUUGCAUUCAUAAUUAGUCUCUCCUUCAGACUGAAUAUUACAGACAAAAUAUAGCCAUUGGUGUUGCAAUCACUUCCUUUGGGUUUGUAUCCAAGGUUAAGAAUGUCAGCAUCCAAAGACCCAAAUUCUUAAUGUUUUUAGUUGAUAAAGUUUAUUCAAGGUAGACAGCCUGUGUUGAAUAACUUAGUCUUCCACAAAUUUCAAGAAAAAUCCAUUGUCCCUCUUCUCCGCCACAGACACACUUUAGUUGAACAUUAAGCAUAUUUAUUAAAGAAACAUUCUCCUUGUGCUUUUUCUCCCAAGAUGGAUGGUGUUCUUACUUAGAGUUAUAAGUGUCAGAAUAAAAAUGCCCAUGAGGUUGAAUUGUAUGAUGUUAUAGUAAAGUGAGAUAAACAUUCUCAGAAACAUGAUUGUGACUUAAAAAAAAAAAAAACCAACAAACCACUUUCUGUAGAGGAAUUAUGCUUUGGGGACAGAAACUUUCCUUUAUAAUUUUUACAGCUGCACGCAGAUAAAGUGUAUUAAAAAGGCACAACACAUCAAUUAUGAAAACAUGGCUACCCUUUAAGAGAACACAGACUUUUUCCAGAUCCAUCUUAAAUCUCAGGAAUUCUAGAUCGAGACAGGCAUGAAUGCUCCUGUUGCUGAAAUCACUCUGAUUUCCUUCUUGUUAAACACUUCACUCAGCAACAUUAUAGAUUAGCACCAAAAAAGUUGUUUGUAGGUGAAAAACUGUUCAGAAAAGGACACCUUAUUAGGCAGGCUGUCGAUUUACAAAUAAAAGCCGAUUCUGGCUCUCCUGAAU